GACGAACGCUGGCGGCGUGCUUAACACAUGCAAGUCGAACGGGAUUUAGUAGACAGAAGCCUCGGCUAAAGAUUACUAAUGAGAGUGGCGAACGGGUGAGUAACGCGUGAGCAACCUGCCUAUGACAGUGGGAUAGCCUCGGGAAACCGGGAUUAAUACCGCAUAAAAUCGUAGAAACACAUGUUUUAACGGUCAAAGAUUUAUCGGUCAUAGAUGGGCUCGCGUCUGAUUAGCUAGUUGGUGAGAUAACAGCCCACCAAGGCGACGAUCAGUAGCCGGUCUGAGAGGAUGAACGGCCACAUUGGAACUGAGACACGGUCCAAACUCCUACGGGAGGCAGCAGUGGGGAAUAUUGCACAAUGGGGGAAAACCUGAUGCAGCGACGCCGCGUGAACGAAGAAGGUAUUCGUAUCGUAAAGUUCUGUCCUAUGGGAAGAUAAUGACAGUACCAUAGAAGAAAGCUCCGGCUAAAUACGUG
rnacentral:rRNA from 1 species